rnacentral:rRNA from 1 species
AUUGAACGCUGGCGGCAGGCUUAACACAUGCAAGUCGAGCGGAGAUGAGGUGCUUGCACCUUAUCUUAGCGGCGGACGGGUGAGUAAUGCUUAGGAAUCUGCCUAUUAGUGGGGGACAACAUUCCGAAAGGAAUGCUAAUACCGCAUACGUCCUACGGGAGAAAGCAGGGGAUCUUCGGACCUUGCGCUAAUAGAUGAGCCUAAGUCGGAUUAGCUAGUUGGUGGGGUAAAGGCCUACCAAGGCGAAGAUCUGUAGCGGGUCGGAGAGGAUGAUCCGCCACACUGGGACUGAGACACGGCCCAGACUCCUACGGGAGGCAGCAGUGGGGAAUAUUGGACAAUGGGGGGAACCCUGAUCCAGCCAUGCCGCGUGUGUGAAGAAGGCCUUAUGGUUGUAAAGCACUUUAAGCGAGGAGGAGGCUACUGAGACUAAUACUCUUGGAUAGUGGACGUUACUCGCAGAAUAAGCACCGGCUAACUCUGUGCCAGCCGCCGCAGUAAAAC